rnacentral:rRNA from 1 species
AUGUACAUGCCUACAACGCAGCAUUAGUGCAUUGGAUCCCAUUAGAACUCCAUAGUUAAGCGCGGUCAGGAUAGAGCAGUACUGGGAUGGGUGACCAACCUGGAAGUCCUAGUGUUUUACAUG